ACUCGGAAAGAUGGCGAUAUGAGAAGUGUUUUGAAUCGCUUUGUAUGGACACAUUUUAUUACUGUUCUUUCCCAAAAUGAGCCAAAAAAGAGUUGUCAUCGUACCAGGAAACGGUGAUGGAGAUGUUGAACGAAGUAACUGGUAUGGCUGGCUCCAAAACAAGCUUACAGAGAAAGAUGUAGAGUGUGUUCUGAAGAAUAUGCCUGAUCCAGUGGUGGCACGUGAAGGAAUAUGGAUUCCAUUCAUGGAGAAACAGCUUAAUUGUAACAGCAACACUGUGAUUGUUGGGCAUAGCUCUGGGGCCCAAGCUGCCAUGAGAUAUGCAGAGAAUCAUUGUGUGCUUGGUUUGGUUCUGGUUUCAGCCUGUGUGACAGAUUUGGGAGAUCCCAAUGAAAAAGCAAGUGGUUAUUACAGUAGGCCCUGGGAGUGGGAACAGAUUAAGCACAACACACAGUGGAUCAUUCAGUUUGGCUCGACAGAUGACCCUUUUAUUCCAUUUAGCGAACAGAAACAAGUGGCGGAAGGAACUGGUGCCGAGUUCCAACAAUACUCUGAUAAAGGGCACUUUAUGUCAAUGGCAUUUCCUGAACUUCUUAAAAAGUUGAUGGAAAAAUUAUAGGGAAGCUGAUUUAAAAAAUGGAUUUAUUCAGGGGUGGGUUUUAAUCAAAUGAGCAUCAAAAGUACCAUAAUGGACUGACAAGAUUUUGAUAAUUGAUGCAUCCAUAACCUUUUAACUCCCACAAGUGAUCAACAAAAAACUUCUCCCUAUAAUAUCCUUACAUUAUCCACCAAAUAGGUGAUGAGAAUGUUUAAACUCAUCAGUUAGAAGUUAUCUUGAUCUAACACCAAAUUCUCAUUACUAAUUUACAAGGAAAUGUGUAACAGCUUGAGGGGAGAAUUAACAAUUUGAUCUUGGGAGUUAAAGGAUUAAGAAGUUAGAAGUUAGGUAAGAAAUAGUUACUAAUUUCGUCCAUUUUCAGAGUUGAAGUCUGAAUAGAAAGGUGUAAAAAAAAAAUAAUAAAAAUACUGUCAUGAUUGAUUGGUCUCAAUUCAUAAGACAAAUUGCAUCAAUCUGAUGAUGUCCUCUAAGGCUUGAAAUACCAAAUAAACACUCUUGCCCUAAGACUGAUUCCAACACUUGCUCUUGAGCAUUUCCAACAUGUUCAACAAACUGUGACCCUGUUAUUUGUAGAAGCUGUUCUGCAGCAUGAUCUGUCAGAGAUGCCUCUAUGCUCUUCUCUGAGUCAUGUAACUCAAGACUCAAAGUAUACUGCCACUUCCAGUACAUGGAUGGGGAUUUCUGAAAUCACAAUUGUUUUAAAACAAUUAUUUCACAAAGAAGAAAUUCCCACUGUUACUUUCCACUUCCCUGUGGCAUGACAUGUGAACUCUAACAGCAUGUCUGCCACUGAUGCCGUGGACUUGAAUGACGACAGCUUGACACACACAGUGAUCAAACUUGACAACAUCUUUGACAGGCACUGGAGAUGACAAGCACUUGCUUGCCAGCCAUCCAGUCAUUGCGCUAAGAUUCCAGAUCCUUCCACCAUUGCUUGUCUCUAAGGUUAAGGCUUUGGAUGAACUUGCACCUGUUUUGGAAAGAAAAAAAAUUAUUCAGUUGUCACAA